AUGAAUGUUACUCUAGCGCCUGUGGACCGUGUCUGUGCAGUCGUAUUCUUUUAUGAUAUACUGGUGUUCAGUGCUACCUUAGAGGAACAUGUGCAGCACCUCAAGCAAGUUUUGCAACUACUCAGGCAACAUCAGUGGAGAGUUAAAGAGUCAAAGUGUGCAUUCGCCCAGCGUAGCAUAUCCUAUCUGGGCUUUGUGGUCAGUGGGAACGGAGUGUCAACAAACCCAGCUAAGGUGCAAGCGGUCCUUGAGUGGCCAGUGCCCCAAUCUGUUAAGGAGCUUCAAGGGUUUCUUGGACUUUCAGGGUGCUACAGGAAAUUUGUGCGCAAUUAUGGUGUUAUCAGUCAGCCCUUGACUCAUCUUCUGCGCAAGAAUGUACCCUUUGUAUGGUCUACAACAACACAGACUGCUUUUGAAGUGUUGAAAAAGGCUCUAACAUCAGCACCUGUACUUGCUUUGCCAGAUUUCAAGGUUCAGUUUGUUGUUGAAACUGAUGCUAGUGACAAACAUUCUGAGUUUUUGAUUUUUACUGAUCACUGUAGUUUGGCCCAUCUGGAAGGCCAGCGCUUACAUACUCCGUAG
rnacentral:rRNA from 1 species